rnacentral:rRNA from 1 species
UGAGGAAUAUUCGGCAAUGGGGGCAACCCUGACCGAGCAACGCCGCGUGGAGGAUGACGGUUUUUGGAUUGUAAACUCCUUUUCUCAGGGAAGAGUGAGGACGGUACCUGAGGAAUAAGUCACGGCUAACUACGUGCCAGCAGCCGCGGUAAUACGUAGGUGGCAAGCGUUAUCCGGCAUUAUUGGGCGUACAGCGUCCGCAGGUGGUCAGCCAAGUCUGCCGUCAAAUCAGGUUGCUUAACGACCUAAAGGCGGUGAAACUGGCAGACUAGAGAGCAGGAGGGGUAGCAGGAAUUCCCAGUGUAGCGGUGAAAUGCGUAGAGAUUGGGAAGAACAUCGGUGGCGAAAGCGCACUACUGGGCCAAAACUGACACGGAGGGACGAAAGCUAGGGGAGCGAAAG